rnacentral:rRNA from 1 species
UUCCUGCACGACUUGUAAUUGCGAUGGGGGGACGGAGAAGGCUAGGUGGGCCAGGCGACGGUUGUCCUGGUGAAAGUGCGUAGGUGGUGUUUCUAGGCAAAUCCGGAGACACAACACUGAGACACGAGACGAACACACUACGGUGUGGAAGCCAUUGAUGCCCUGCUUCCAGGAAAAGCCUCUAAGCUUCAGAUUACAAGUCAUCGUACCCCAAACCGACACAGGUGGUCGGGUAGAGAAUACCAAGGCGCUUGAGAGAACUCGGGUGAAGGAACUAGGCAAAAUAGAACCGUA